GUAUUAGAGGCAUUGCCUGCCCAGUGACUAAAGUUAAACGGCCGCGGUAUCCUGACCGUGCAAAGGUAGCAUAAUCACUUGUUCCUUAAUUAGGGACUAGAAUGAAUGGCUAAACGAGGGUUCAACUGUCUCUUACUUUCAAUCAGUGAAAUUGACCUUCCAGUGAAGAGGCUGGAAUCUCCCAAUAAGACGAGAAGACCCUAUGGAGCUUUAAUUUACUAGUUCAACUUAUAUAAAAACAACCUAAUGGGCUAAAACAAAAUAAAUAUGAACUAAAAAAUUUCGGUUGGGGUGACCUCGGAGAAUAAAAAAUCCUCCGAAUGAUUUUAACCUAGACUCACAAGUCAAAGUAAUACUAAUAUCUUAUUGACCCAAUUAUUGAUCAACGGACCAAGUUACCCUAGGGAUAACAGCGCAAUCCUAUUUAAGAGUUCAUAUCGACAAUUAGGGUUUACGACCUCGAUGUUGGAUCAGGACAUCCCAAUGGUGCAGAAGCUAUUAAUGGUUCGUUUGUUCAACGAUUAAAGUCCUACGUGAUCUGG
rnacentral:rRNA from 1 species